rnacentral:tRNA from 2 species
GCGCUCGUAGCUCAGCUGGAUAGAGUACCUGGCUACGAACCAGGCGGUCAGAGGUUCG